AUUCGGAAUGCAGCGGGGUUUAAACUGGUCCCCCUAACAUCGUAAACUUUCAAAGGCUAACAAGGAGCGGAAAACCAACUUAUUGCGGGUAAUGGCGGCUCCGAGGUGACAGUCAUGUGAUUUUGGAGUUUUCACAACAAGAGCAAACUUAAGGCAACUUUCUUCUUGAAAAUGUUGGAGACUGAGACGCAGAUGUUAACAGACAACUCUGCAUGGAAUUGGAGGAUAAGAGUUUAUAACUGAAUGCAUUCUGUCUGGAUUUCUGUAUGGUGACAGAAGGCUUUGAUAAUCAAGACAAUCAAGAAUUGGAGUGGCUAAGAAUCAGAUGGAGACCAAAUGUCAGUUCACAUGGAAUACCAGGGUUUGCAAAGGAGGACAUUGGAACUGGCUUAAGUAUUCAAAUUUCUGAUGGCAGUUGAUGACAGAAGAUGUCAUACUUAGGGAAACAUUAGAUUAAAUUACUUUGAAUGAUAUAAAAACAUCAAACGACAGGGGAAAAAAGAGGACUGCCUAUUUCCGAUAUAUCGAUCUCUUCACAUAGCAACACCCAAAGCACUACCAUCGAAAAAUUAAAAUCAAUAUUUAGGAAGAAAAA